AUUGAACGCUGGCGGCAUGCCUUACACAUGCAAGUCGAACGGUAGCGGGCCUUCGGGUGCCGACGAGUGGCGAACGGGUGAGUAAUGUAUCGGAACGUACCUUUCAGUGGGGGAUAACGUAGCGAAAGUUACGCUAAUACCGCAUAUUCUGUGCGCAGGAAAGCAGGGGACCUUCGGGCCUUGCGCUGGUUGAGCGGCCGAUAUCAGAUUAGCUAGUUGGUGAGGUAAAGGCUCACCAAGGCAACGAUCUGUAGCGGGUCUGAGAGGAUGAUCAGCCACACUGGAACUGGGAAACGGUCCAGACUCCCACGGGAGGCAGCAGUGGGGAAUUUUGGACAAUGGGGGCAACCCUGAUCCAGCCAUGCCGCGUGAGUGAAGAAGGCCUUCGGGUUGUAAAGCUCUUUCGGCCGGGAAGAAAUCGUAUCAGCUAAUACCUGGUGCGGAUGACGGUACCGGCAUAAGAAGCACCGGCUAACUACGUGCCAGCAGCCGCCGUAACAC
rnacentral:rRNA from 1 species